UUUUGUUUUCUUUCUGCAUUUUUAUUUUUGAACAAGCCUCUCCACAUUAUUCCUUUGGCUUUACACCCAAAUAAUUCUAGUUUAAGGGUAUUUAUUUCACUGGGUUCAAAUCCAGACCUUUGUCCCGUAAGUCAAUUAGGACAUCAAUAUGUAGCUGGCAUUUUCAUACCUCUCUGCAGUUUCAGUUCAAUUGUUUAUUUGCUUCUGAGAGCUUUAUUAUCAUUUAUGGAGCUGCUUCUUAGUGAGCAAAGUUCUUUGUAAUCUUUAUUUUAUUCUGCCUCGUGACAAUUCAGCGGUCUUGGUAAUUACUCUCACAUGAUGAAACCUGAAAAAAACAAAACAGAUUGGUAGGGUUCGUGUUUAGUGGAGGCACUUCCAGUUAUUGGAGUGUUAAGUGGAGGCACUUCCAGUUGCCUCCUUGCAGACUUUCCAAACUCUGUACAUCCUGCUGUACUAGCAUUUGGGAUGAUGGGCAAGGGAAGAUGAUUCCCAAAAGGAUCCAUAAUAAUUACCAAGCAAAAAUAGAAUCACAUCUCCAAAGCUCUCCAAGGAUCCUGAAUGAGCUUCUGGUUAGGUAUAUAAGGGAAACUGGGUAUUAAAGAAAACCUACUUACAGUUCCCCAAAACAAUAUGUGAACCUUAUUUUACUGUGAGGGCCAAACUACACAUUACAUUAGCUACAUAGCUAUGCCUUUAAGUACAAGGUAUUUUAUACAGACGGUCUAAACCACUGAGCCUCUUGGGCUUGCAGAUCCGAAGGUCGGUGGUUUUUUUUUUUUUUAAAUUUAUUAAGGUUUUAAACAACAAAGAAAGAAAAGAAAAACAUACGCAAUACAUAUAACAACACACACAAAAAACAAAACAAAAUUCAACCAUAAAAAAAACCCAUAACAAUUAAAAACAAUAUCUCUUUUCCAUUUCCAUUUUUAAAUUACUUAUUUUCUGGACUUCCUCAUACCGCCCUCUUUUGUAUUCCAAUCCGAAUUGUUUGUCCAGCAGUUUCUUUUCCACUUUUCGAAGGUCGGUGGUUUGAAUCCCUGCAAUGGAGUGAUCUCCCGUUGCUCUGUGCAGCUCCUGCCAACAUAGCAGUUUGAAAGCACGCCAGUGCAAGUAGAUAAAUAGGCACCGCUGCGGUGGGAAGGUAAACGGCAUUUCCGUGUGCUCUGGUUUCCAUCAUGGUGUUCCGUUGCACCAGAAGCAGUUUAGUCAUGCUGGCCACAUGACCAGGGAAAGCUGUCUGUGGACAUACACCAGCUCCCUCAGCCUGAAAGUGAGAUGAGCGCUGCAACCCCAUAGUCACCUUUCACUGGUCUUAACCAUCCAGGGGUCCUUUACCUUUUUCACCUCUUAUUUUAUACAAAUUGUCAGUAUGCAUCAGUUAGGGACUUGGAGCUUUAAUCUUCACAUGAACACUCACAGGUCCUGAUCCAGACCAGAACCCCCAUGUCUUCAAUUUGCACAGGAAAUCAGAAGCUCAAACUAAAGCAAAUGAUGUUAUGAUGGAAGCAGGCUACCUUUAAAGCCUUGAGAUUGGCUAGAAGAAAUAGAAAUAAUAGAAACAGAAAUAGAAUCCUAGAGUUGUAAAUAAUUUCUUUUGAUUCCCUGCUUAGUACAGGAUAUCCAGUGCUACAUUACGCCCAACCACUGCAGACCUCCAGUGAAGGGCAGUCCACACAAACACACACACCAUACCCUCCAACAUUUCUCUGAUGAAAAUAGGGGCAUCCUAUUCCAUAAUAAUAACAUUAAAAGGAACUUUACUAUUUAUAACCCAGCCAUCUGACUGGGUUGCCACUCUGGGUGGCUUCCAACAUAUAUAAAACAUAAAACAUUUUUUUAAAAAAACCUUCCCCAUACAGGGCUGUCUUCAGAUGGCUUAGUGGUUGGAUAACUCCAUACCCUUUGAUAUUUCUCCAAUGCAAAUAGUGACGUCCUAAGGAAAAGUGGGACAUUCUGGGAUCAAAUCAGAAAACCAGGACAGCUUCUGUAAAUUGGGGACGUCCCUGGAAAAUAGGGACACUUGGAAGGUCUGACACACAGAGAGCCCUCUAGGUUAAUUGCUUCUGUUGUUGAAUUGCUUUGACCAGCAGGACAUUUCUGCUAAUGCUCAGUUGAAAACUACCCUCUAAUAACUUUAGCUCAUUCAAUCUAGUCUUUUGCCCUCUUGAGCAACAAAGAACAAGUCUUGGCCCUCUUCUGUGUGAUAGUCCUUUGGGGAUUUUAAUAAAUAGUGCAUCCAGAUGACUAAGACUCUUCAUUUCUGCCCAUAACCUGGAAAGCCUUUCCUAGGUCCUUGGAGCCAUGACCACAUUCCCUGGAUUUCCAGUUGGCCCAUGGCAUUUCACCCAUUUCAAUGACUGUCACUUCUGCGGCUGUCAGACUCCUGGUGUUAGCAUGUAAGGGCAGAGGACUGGAGCUAAGAAAUGACAGUGAUCACAGCCUGGAACUCUUUGAAAAGAAGGGAACAAGCCCAUCAGCGAAGAGUUCUGCUGAGAUGGUAGUCAUUAGUUCAUGAAGGCUGCGAGACUAGAAAUAGAGGAAUGAAGAUAGCCAGUUGGGGAAAGAUAUGAGGACUCAGGAUAUGUGAACAUGUUGACAGACUGCAAAGAAUAAUGACUAAGGCUGGCUGUGCCAUGACAGGGUGGGGGAGAUGGGGAGGGAGACUCAGCACUGCCAGCAACUCUCCCAAGGUGUAUCACAAGGUUUUAUCAAGAAAGACUCCGGAGUUAAGAAGCAAAGAAAACUUCAAAAUGGAGAGAGGUGAGUGAGACCAGCACAAGAAAUAGGAAUCGAGAAAAAAUCCUUUUAUUUCCAGCUUAUUGAAAACCAGCACCGCUAAAGUUUGGGAUGUAUGUUGGUGAAGCUCAGCAUGUGACUUUUUUUAAAAAAUGAUGCAGUUUUGAAUGUUAAAAUCACUGUUAUCACUAUGGUUGCAAUUACAUGCAUCGUGAGCUUAAAAAGCACAUUGGUCUCCUUUCCAAUGCACAGUGUUUCUAAGCAGCUCAGUGUAGGUUGAUGUAUGUGUGUGUGCUUCUCUCUCUCUCUCUCUCUCUCUCUCUCUGUGUGUGUGUGUGUGUGUGUGUAGCUUGCAUAGCAGCAAUUUGAAAGCUGUUUUGCCACAGUUACUUACAGCCUUGCCCGAGGAAGCUGUGGCUUCAGAAUGUUUUACUUCCCAGUGGCAGGAGGAGGCAGGUGCAAGUGAGCU
rnacentral:lncRNA from 1 species